GGGAGCCAUGGGGAGCCAUUAAACAUUUCGGAGCAGAAGAGGGACAUGACAAUUUACAUUUCUUAAGCUCAUUUUUUUCUUCUUUUUAGGGCCUCACCCUCCUGGCAUGUGGAAAUUCCCAGGCUAGGAGCUGAAUUGGAGCUGCAGCUGCUGGCCCAUGCCACAGCCACAGCAACUCCAGAUCUGAGCAGUGUCUGCAGCCCACACUGCAGCUCACGGCAAUGCUGGAUCCUUACUUAACCCACUGAGCAGGGCCAGGGAUCAGACCCGCAUCCUCGUGGAUACUAGUUGGGUUUGUUACCACUGAGCCACAAUGGGAACUCCCUAAAGCUCACUCUGACUGUAAUAUGUAUUGAAGGAAUGAGAGUUCAGAUUGAGGGGAGCCAAGUGGAAGCCAGGAGACCUGUGGGGAGGCUGUUAUAAUUAUCCAGGAAAGCCAUGAUGGAUCACAGGGCUCAGCCCAGGGAGAAAAGUGGAUGAGCCAAGGACAAGCUUAGGAGAUAGACUCAACAUCCCAGCUUGGAUGAGCUGAAAUUUGGGAACGGUGAGGUGUGGCUUUGCCUGGAAAUUCUCUUGUUUCCUGGGCAUAUUGACUUGGGGACCUUUAGAAGUCUAGGGGAUGAGAUGGAACUGUAUUAGCACCCUCAAACCCCACUUCCUCCAAGAGGCUCCAGGGGUCUAAUUCCUGGGCUUCCCUGCUGGGCUUCAUGCGUCUAAGGUUGUUUUUUAUUCUGAGUUUGCACAGAGCUCAUGUUUAUUUUUGCUAAUUGAUACAAAUGGCUUGCCCUCGCUGUCGUGCUUCAGCGCUGUGCACUUUCAUAUUAAUUGGUUUGGAGGAGGAAAAUUAAGUGCUUCAAUUUGCCAUCUUUCCAGAUGACAAAAUGGGAAAGAAGAAAAUUACUCAGCUGAAAGAGAGGAUCUAUAAUAAAGACGUCAUGUCGCUGCAUGUGAUCCUUGCUGGGAAGGAAAGGGACCAUGGUGUCAUGAGAGGGGCUUUGGGUGACCUGACCUGGGUCCUGGACCAAGAUCUGGGGAUGAGGAGAGACACAGAAGAAUCCUCGUGGAGGUGACGUUUCACCUGAGACAUGCCAGGUGAGCUGCAGGUAACUAGGUGAGGAGCCGGGGUGGGGAGAUAUUCCAGGAGGUGGGAACAGUGUGUGCAAAGGCCCUGAGGUGCUGGGAGUCUGGUAUGUCCGAGGCCAGAGGAGAGGCCGGUGUGGCCGGGACCAAGGGAACACAGAGGUGAGUGGUGGGAGGCAGGACUGGAGAGGGGCAGGGACCUGGGAGUUAGGGCUCCCUCCUAAGGCCGAGGGCAUCUUCUGGAAGGUUUGCAGCAGGGGUGUGACUGGGAUCAGAUUUGCCUCUUCGGAUGUUCCCAGUUGUAUCGGGAAGGGCGCCUUGCUUGGGGCUGUCCUUUCCUCUCCUCAGUGCCCACCACGGUCUGUUUCAUAGCUCAGGGUCUGGGUGGGACAGCAGACCUCAGCCUUAGGGCCUUGGUCACAUCUCAGGAGAAAAUCAGAGGGACGGUCGGGAAACACACACCAAGGACUCGGGCGUGCCUGAGCCUGAUGCAGGGCUUUGAAGAGAAGCCUCAGGAGUCACAGGGGCA
rnacentral:lncRNA from 1 species